rnacentral:rRNA from 1 species
AGCGAACGCUGGCGGCAGGCCUAACACAUGCAAGUCGAACGCCCGGGCAACCGGGAGUGGCAGACGGGUGAGUAACACGUGGGAACGUGCCCUUCGGUUCGGAAUAACUUGGGGAAACUCAAGCUAAUACCGGAUACGUCCGCAAGGAGAAAGAUUUAUUGCCGAAGGAUCGGCCCGCGUCCGAUUAGCUAGUUGGUGGGGUAAUGGCCCACCAAGGCGACGAUCGGUAGCUGGUCUGAGAGGAUGAUCAGCCACACUGGGACUGAGACA